CAGCCGCCGCGGUAAUACGAAGGGUGCAAGCGUUACUCGGAAUUACUGGGCGUAAAGCGUGCGUAGGUGGUGGUUUAAGUCCGUUGUGAAAGCCCUGGGCUCAACCUGGGAAUUGCAGUGGAUACUGGGUCACUAGAGUGUGGUAGAGGAUGGUGGAAUUCCCGGUGUAGCGGUGAAAUGCGUAGAGAUCGGGAGGAACAUCAGUGGCGAAGGCGGCCAUCUGGGACAACACUGACGCUGAGGCACGAAAGCGUGGGGAGCAAACAGGAUUAGAUACCCGUGUAGUCCCUGUCUCUUAUAA
rnacentral:rRNA from 1 species